rnacentral:misc_RNA from 1 species
UUUCAAAAAAAAAAAAAUUAUGCAUAGCUUUACACGCUUCUAACCCUAUUACAUUCCAACUCUUUUGGUAAAACAUGCCCGAGAAGCCAUGAGGGCCAAGGGCUUUGUCUAGCCCUAACUGAAAAACAACUCUUCAAAUCUCAGCAUUUGAGAUGGAAGCAUUGAGAAUCUCAUUCAUUUUUGGAGUGACCACAGUAGGGAGCAAAUUAAAA